AAAAAAAAAAAAGGCAACCGAAAAUGUUUAGAGUUAAAUAGUAGAUUCUGCUUCCCAAGCAACAACCAGAUAUGCUACACGGUAAUACCAACAUGCAAUACCUGAAAUGUGGAAUCACAGUCUGACUGUUGCCCUUGAACGUCAGCAUUUAAUUUACAAUUUUCUGGUGCCUGGCUGAUUUCAUCUUGCAAAGUAGGAGAUAUGCCAUGAGGAUCACCUACAGAAGCACCUUCAGACAAGGCAUCCAACUUUUCAGGGGAGGGAGCUAUGUGAAGCUUACUGUCUCCUGCCCCUUCAUCAGAAUUUGUCCUCUCAUCAGCAUCUUCCAGCUGUUGAACUGAAGUUAAAUACUGCUCAAGUAGACUAUUAUCCUGCUCAGUGUUAAAGCUUUCCUUACUCCAUUCACCGUGUUCAUCACUGACAUCCCCUACACCUGACUCUUUACCAUAUCUGACUGUGUCAAUGGAAUUCCCCAUUAUGGAACUUUCACUGCCUUCUGUGGAACUUUUUUCAAAAUCCAAAGAAUCCUGCAAACAGUGAACUUGCUCUGUUAGGGAAGAAUGAAAACCAGAGUCUGGAAAUUCUGAUUGAACUUGGAGAAAAAGGAUCAGAGAUCAGUUAAUUUCAUACCGCUUUCCUGGACUAUCUGGCCAUCUUGAACAGGGCUUGAAUGCUCAGAAUCUUCUCUAGUUUGGCAUCCUCUGCAGUUUGAAGACCCAGCGUGGAAGUGAGAGGACAGACUGUAGCCAGAUACUGGACAAGCUGGAUAUGCUGGCCUGGCCGAUAUGCUCUCCCCUUGCCUUGACUAUAGAGCCAUUCAGCUUUCAAGCUGGAUUUGGAGAACAUACAGUAGAGGAGAUGACAUCAGCAUAGACAAGAUAUAUUUUGAAGCAACAAUGAUCUUCCUUCUUAAUUUACAGCAUCACUGGAUGACUUAUAAAUAAAAUUCAGUUAAGUUUUAAAAAAAAAUCUUUCCUUCUGAUUCACUCCUUUUACCCUUUAUAAUGUUUUAAACCUUUUUCUUG